UAGCGGGGUAGAGGAGAGGUACCUCGGGAGGCUCAUAACCUCCAGACCCCGGUUCAUUCCGGGCCCGCACA
rnacentral:tRNA from 1 species